rnacentral:rRNA from 1 species
GACGAACGCUGGCGGCGUGCUUAACACAUGCAAGUCGAACGGGAUUUAGUAAACGUAAGCCUCGGUGGAAGAUUACUAAUGAGAGGGGCGAACGGGUGAGUAACGCGUGAGCAACCUGCCUAUGACAGUGGGAUAGCCUCGUGAAACCGGGAUUAAUACCGCAUAAAAUCGUAGAAACACAUGUUUCAACGGUCAAAGAUUUAUCGGUCAUAGAUGGGCUCGCGUCUGAUUAGCUAGUUGGUGAGAUAACAGCCCACCAAGGCGACGAUCAGUAGCCGGUCUGAGAGGAUGAACGGCCACAUUGGAACUGAGACACGGUACAAACUCCUACGGGAGGCAGGAGUGGGGAAUAUUGCACCAUGGGGGAAACCCUGAUGCAGCGACGCCGCGUGAACGAAGAAGGUAUUCGUAUCGUAAAGUUCUGUCCUAUGGGAAGAUAAUGACAGUACCAUAGAAGAAAGCUCCGGCUAAAUACGUG